UACGGGGGGGGCAAGCGUUGUUCGGAAUUACUGGGCGUAAAGGGCUCGUAGGCGGCCAACUAAGUCGGAUGUGAAAUCCCCAGGCUCAACUUGGGAACUGCAUCCGAUACUGGAUGGCUUGAAUUCGGGAGAGGGAUGCGGAAUUCCAGGUGUAGAGGUGAAAUUCGUAGAUAUUCGCAAGAACACCAGUGGCGAAGGCGGCUCACUGGCCCGAUACUGACGCUGAGGCACGAAAGCGUGGGGAGCAAACAGGAUUAGAAACC
rnacentral:rRNA from 1 species